AUUGAACGCUGGCGGCAGGCCUAACACAUGCAGGUCGAGCGGAUGAUGGGAGCUUGCUCCUGGAUUCAGCGGCGGACGGGUGAGUAAUGCCUAGGAAUCUGCCUGGUAGUGGGGGACAACGUUUCGAAAGGAACGCUAAUACCGCAUACGUCCUACGGGAGAAAGCAGGGGACCUUCGGGCCUUGCGCUAUCAGAUGAGCCUAGGUCGGAUUAGCUAGUUGGUGAGGUAAUGGCUCACCAAGGCGACGAUCCGUAACUGGUCUGAGAGGAUGAUCAGUCACACUGGAACUGAGACACGGUCCAGACUCCUACGGGAGGCAGCAGUGGGGAAUAUUGGACAAUGGGCGAAAGCCUGAUCCAGCCAUGCCGCGUGUGUGAAGAAGGUCUUCGGAUUGUAAAGCACUUUAAGUUGGGAGGAAGGGCAGUAAGCUAAUACCUUGCUGUUUUGACGUUACCGACAGAAUAAGCACCGGCUAACUCUGUGCCAGCAGCCGCCGUAACAC
rnacentral:rRNA from 1 species